rnacentral:rRNA from 1 species
UACGUAGGGUGCAAGCGUUGUCCGGAAUUAUUGGGCGUAAAGAGCUCGUAGGCGGUUUGUUGCGUCGGCUGUGAAAUCCCGAGGCUCAACCUUGGGUCUGCAGUCGAUACGAGCAAACUAGAGUGUUGCAGGGGAGACUGGGAAUUCCUGGUGUAGCGGUGAAAUGACGCAGAUAUCAGGAGGAACACCGGUGGCGAAGGCGGUGGUCUGGGCCGGCACUGACGCUGAGGAGCGAAAGCGUGGGGAGCAAACAGG